rnacentral:rRNA from 1 species
UACGAAGGGGACUAGCGUUGUUCGGAAUCACUGGGCGUAAAGCGCACGUAGGCGGAUAUGUCAGUCAGGGGUGAAAUCCCGGGGCUCAACCUCGGAACUGCCUUUGAUACAGCAUGUCUUGAGUCCGAUAGAGGUGGGUGGAAUUCCUAGUGUAGAGGUGAAAUUCGUAGAUAUUAGGAAGAACACCGGUGGCGAAGGCGGCCCACUGGAUCGGUACUGACGCUGAGGUGCGGAAGCGUGGGGAGCAAACAGG